UCCAGAAGAAUGGAUAAUAUGAGAACUCCGCGGGACGGAGAAAACUCGGAGACAUUUCUGUGUCGGGUUCGAGAAUUCUUCCACCCUACUCCAAGUGAGAUCAGGAUAAAGCAGGAAACCAGAGAGUUGGUGGACUUUGCAGUUUAUUUCAGUUUACGGACUAACUUCUCCGGAAGUUCGACGAGAACAGAAUCCUGCCUUCGACGAUGCAUCAGUAGGAUGCAUGAGAAGCACUCCAUGGUGUUUGGUGGGAUGAUGACGAGAUUAAAUAUCAACAGAAACAUUGAUUUCUACCAGGGGUUCAUCGAGGUAUCGGAGGAACUCUUCCGGGAGGAGAUCAGCUGGUCCAAGAUUGUUGCUCUCUAUGCAUUCGGAGCAAGGUUGGCUCAGUUUUGUGCAGAGAACGAUAUGGAGGAUUUACUCCGGGAUAUAUCGGAGAGUCUAGCGAGGUUUUCUGAUGAGCAUUUAGCAGCUUAUAUACUAGCACAGGGUGGCUGGGAGACUUUGUGUGAUGAAUAUCCACCUGAAGAUGAGUUAGAAACUCGAGUUUGGAAAUCUUUAGGUAUUCUUGCGCUCUGUCUUACCUCCGCCUCAGUAUUUCUCGUACUCCGGAGAUGACCUGAACCUUGAACCUGAUCCUACUAAGCUCUGAAACCUGCCACUUAGAAUUCCUGAAUGUCCAAUUAAAUACAUCUUCAACUUGGACACAGGAUAAUUUUUCAAGUUUUAUUUACUUAGACAAACUUCAAAAUCAAUCAUUGUUAAGAAAACGUCUGAUUUCCUUGUUCAAUUUUUUUAUGUGCAUUAUUGAUAAAAUGUUAUUACAAUUUUUGUGAACAUCUGUACUCUAAUGGUUGCAUUAAAACAAUGCAAAUACAUGAGACUUCAAGUGUGUUUUCAUACCGGCCCCAUCAGAAUGAUGCUUCAGAAUAUACAGAACACAACAUUGUUGUUCAGUAGAUCCUCAAAGAAUUUUUUAUUCUCCAAAUUAGUUUGUUAAUAAGGUUGUGAAGAAACUGUAAAAUCUGUUGAAUUCUAGUCGUUUUAUAUUCAUUUAUUGUAAACUAAAAUCAGUAAAAAAAAAUAAAAAUAAUUAAUCGAUUUA
rnacentral:misc_RNA from 1 species